AAAGAGGUCAACUAGGGUUCCGAUCUGUUGUUAACAGCACAGGUGACUGGUCCGAGAGUUGACGGCCUUUUCCAAGGCUACACGGCGGGACAAAAGCCCGGGAGAA
rfam:Marinobacter sp. BSs20148, complete genome.